rnacentral:rRNA from 1 species
UGGGGAAUUUUGGACAAUGGGCGAAAGCCUGAUCCAGCAAUGCCGCGUGUGUGAAGAAGGCCUUCGGGUUGUAAAGCACUUUUGUCCGGAAAGAAAUCCUUGGCUCUAAUACAGUCGGGGGAUGACGGUACCGGAAGAAUAAGCACCGGCUAACUACGUGCCAGCAGCCGCGGUAAUACGUAGGGUGCAAGCGUUAAUCGGAAUUACUGGGCGUAAAGCGUGCGCAGGCGGUUUGCUAAGACCGAUGUGAAAUCCCCGGGCUCAACCUGGGAACUGCAUUGGUGACUGGCAGGCUAGAGUAUGGCAGAGGGGGGUAGAAUUCCACGUGUAGCAGUGAAAUGCGUAGAGAUGUGGAGGAAUACCGAUGGCGAAGGCAGCCCCCUGGGGCCAAUACUGACGCUCAUGCACGAAAGCGUGGGGAGCAAAACAGGAUUAGAUACCCUGGUAGUCCACGCCCUAAACGAUGUCAACUAGUUGUUGGGGAUUCAUUUCCUUAGUAACGUAGCUAACGCGUGAAGUUGACCGCCUGGGGAGUACGGUCGCAAGAUUAAAACUCAAAGGAAUUGAC